AGCCUACUGUAACUGUGCUUGCUCUACUAAAACAAGGCUAACCAAGACAGUUAUCCAAACCUUAUGCCCCAAUAGCACGCAAGGAAGCAACAGGGAUACUUUGGCUGUACAAGGACGAGGCCAAAUUAAGAGCUAUUUCCAGAUGUACGCUUUUAAAUAUCAAAUUUUCAAUAGCACGGAUUUGUUUAAACAACAAAAACAAUUUCCUCAAUUGUACCUCAGCGCAAAGGUUGUUUCGUCAGAACAGAGCGAUCAGAACAGAACAUUUUCACAGCAGUGGGAGGGCUUGGCACCGCUUGCUGGCUUUGCCAUUUAGAAGUAGACCAGAAAUCACUCUAAAAACAGCCACCGACACGACCUAUCACUGAGAGAGACAAUCAGCCGUCCAUGUCAACACACCGAUGAAUAGAACAGAAGAGUGUGAGAGACAGAGCGGGAGAGAGAUAAGAGAGAUGGUGACAGAGACAUUCUGAAGACAACAGGAUCUACAGGAGGGCAGAGGGCUGCAGGCAGAUUCACAGUUGUCUCCGUGACACUGACACUGCCAGUAAUAAUGGGCUUUGUGUAGAAGCCCAGGCAGGAAAUGAAGUUUACUGUGAUUGCUUGGGAACGUCACACAGAGGUGAGGACAGGGUCUUUUCAGCUGGAGAGACAACAUUUCUCCUCCUUUUGUGCCAGUGGUUGUCGUGGUCCCCAAACGUCUCUGUGUUGCCCUGGGCCAGGAGUUGUUCCUAGUCAGGUUACGUAGUCAGGAUUGGAGAAACUCCAGACUCUACUUAUGACUUACUCACUUGCAGGCUUUUCAAUUGGUCUUGUUUAACUACAAAUCAAUAAUGUUAUCUCCUUCAUUAGAAUUAUCUUUAGCCGUGACCAAAGACAGGUGUAGAGUAACCCAUUUAGGAAACACAGCUGUGGCAUUGUGUUGAGUGAGGAGACUCAACCCUUCUUCUGUAUAUUAUACACACAAGGUAUCUGACUCAAGGUUUCAAUUACAGGGGUGUUUAGAGCUGCCGAGCUCUCCUGUAGGAAAUCAAGGCACCGUAAUAAGGGCACCACCCUAAGAGUCAAUAUGUAGCUCAAAAUCAAAAUCCUGGUUCCAUUAACGCUAAUCCAGAUAACUGAUGUAGGUACAGCUAACUUAAUUAGGAGGUUACAAAAAUCUGACCUAUGAUCAGUGUCUGUGGGCAACAUCUUCAUGCAUCCCUACUAAUUGGCCUGGGUGGCAUUUCUGUUUCUCUACACUUUGACCUUAGAGAGACACCAUGAUGAGGUCCUCCGCCACUGAUCCCAAAUCAGGUUUGCUUUUUGUUUUUAUAUAGUAAUGGUUUAGGUUUAAUGCUGGGGUAUGGUCAUCUGAUCCUAGAUCUGAGCAUAGGGGCAAAUUCCACUAGGAUUGUGUUUGGGUGACAUUUCACUCCGGUCCAUAAUGCCCCGCAAUGAGGAAUGUGUGUGGGUAACACACAAAGGAUGCCAUUCAAUAGCCUAAAGUGACCACCUCUGCUGGUCUCCUCCACUCCUCUUUACUGAAUGCACUGGCUAGGUCAGGGUUUCCCAAACUAGGGGUUGCGACCGCUUUGAAAAUGGGGUCGCGAGAGAAAAUGUGCGCUUACUUCAUAGAACCAGGGUUACAUCAUUAACCUAGAUGCGGUUUUAAUAAAAAAGAGUGGUUUAUGUAGGGCCCUAUGAUUUCCGAGAUGCUGAAAACGCAGACGGAAUUUGGUAAUAAAAAUGGAAUCAACUGUAAAACAUGGAAGAUUGCAGAAUUUUCCAUAAUUUGGCUGAAAUUGAAAAUGAUUUCAUAAUUGUAAAAUUAGACGAGUAGGCCUAGAUAAAUAAUUCAGUUUUCGAUUGGGGUGUUUUGAGGGGGGAGGUUGUGCGUGGGACCCUUAUGUCACCUCACAACUUGGCUGUCACUUUGAGAAACAUGUCGAAGAGGCCGUCUAGGACGGCCAAGUCAUCAAAAAUACGAAAAACUUCGACCCUAACCCCUAAAUUCAGAGCAGAGCAAUACCCAAAGGACUAUGAGUCAGGCGAUAAGCUGUUCUGCAAAUUAUGUCAACAUACUAUUGAUUGGACCCGUAAAAAUACAUGUGAUGACCACUUAAAGUCUAAAGCCCAUGUGAAAAACAAGGAAAAGCACCGUGUUAGCCAGAGCAUACCUCUUCAAACAACCAUUUCUAGUGCAAGCUCAUCAGCAGAUUCAAGACGAGAAUUUAUUCAGGACUUUGCGGCUGUGUGCGCGCCGAGUCAGACAUCCCCUUAGAAAAGCUAAGAAAGCUAUGGCCGUUUUAAGUGUGAAGCACUGCAAACAGGAAGGAGCGUUCCUCGAAAAUGAGAGCAGCCUCUGUCAAACUCACCCGCCCCGUGUGUGCGGCCAACAUAUGACUGCCGUUCUACUGAAGAUCCGUGGGAAGAAGUUUGUGGUGGUUGUUGACGAGACAACAGAUCCAGGGGAUUGCAGCAUUCUAAACAUCGUCAUUGGUGUUGAAAACCAGUACUUUCUGGUAGAUGUCAUUUUCAUGGACAGAUGCAACUACUCAACGUUUUCCCAAGCUAUACUAGCCUCCCUCCACAGCAACCAUCUGAACCUGAAUGAUGCCUGGGCAGUGGUCACAGACCAUGCCUCCUACUGCCUGAAGGCAUACAAGGAGGUUCUGAAAGGAGAGAUGCCCAACAGUGUUCAUGUACCCUGUCUCUAUCAGGUCAUCAAUCUGGAGGGUGAAACCUGGCAGCACUACAAAUACUUCUCUGAAGUUGCAUCACUUGGGACAUGGAUGAGAUCUGUCUUCUUCAAGAAGCCUGUCAGAAAUAGAAGAUGGGUGAGCUUCCUCAUUAUGAAGGAGUUUGUGCAGGCCAAGGCUCCUCCUGAAGCAGUGAGCUCCAGAUGGAAUAGUUCAUUUGAGGCAGUGAAGUACCAUGCAGAGCAUGUUCAUCUGUACAGAGAGUUUUUGUUGGCAGAAAAGUCAUCAUCCCAGGCAGUCACAAACCUCCUCAGCCAGCUGGAAACAGAGGAGAAGGUUGCUGCAUUGUUGCCUACAUUCUUGCAUUAUUAUGUUUUAAUUUAUAAUGAAACACUUUGUAGAACUCUGUAUUGAAGCACUUGCCAUGAUAACAAAUUGUGAAAUGUUGUGUUGCAUCAUUACAAAUGUACUGUUUCCCUGUACUAUGCCCAAAAGCCGUUAGAACCGAGUGGACAAGACCAGUGGGACUGUGAUGAUGUUCUUUUCUACACAGAAGAUCAUCCAACAUUAUUGCCAUACCUUUGAUGCACUUCAGUCACUUCAUACUGUCAUAGUCCAAACUAAAAAAGUAAACAAUUGCAGUUGAUUACAUAACUUAUUUUAAUUUAAUUACAUUUUUUACAUCGUGGUGUCGCAAUUAUUAUUUUUAUAUCAAAAUGGGGUCAGGAGCCAAAGAACCUCACAAGGUUAAAGCCAUGUGGAUAGACAGCCAUCCAGGAAUUCACCUGUUCGGUACAGGUGGAGGAUAGGAGACGAGGAAGCCACUUUAGACUAUUGAGAUACACCCACUGAAUUUUUUAUUUUAUUUAACCUUUAUUUAACUAGGCAAGUCAGUUAAGAACAA